AACGAACGCUGGCGGCAUGCCUAACACAUGCAAGUCGAACGAGACCUUCGGGUCUAGUGGCGCACGGGUGCGUAACGCGUGGGAACCUGCCCUUAGGUUCGGAAUAACUCCCCGAAAGGGGUGCUAAUACCGGAUAAUGUCUUCGGACCAAAGAUUUAUCGCCUUUGGAUGGGCCCGCGUUGGAUUAGCUAGUUGGUAGGGUAAAAGCCUACCAAGGCGACGAUCCAUAGCUGGUCUGAGAGGAUGAUCAGCCACACUGGGACUGAGACACGGCCCAGACUCCUACGGGAGGCAGCAGUGGGGAAUAUUGGACAAGGGGCGAAAGCCUGAUCCAGCAAUGCCGCGUGAGUGAUGAAGGCCUGAGGGUUGUAAAGCUCUUUUACCCGGGAUGAUAAUGACAGUACCGGGAGAAUAAGCUCCGGCUAACUCCG
rnacentral:rRNA from 1 species